AUUGACCGCUGGCGGCAGGCCUAACACAUGCAAGUCGAGCGAGCGGCGGACGGGUGAGUAAUGUCUGGGAAACUGCCUGAUGGAGGGGGAUAACUACUGGAAACGGUAGCUAAUACCGCAUACCAUCAGAUGUGCUCAGGUGGGAUUCGCUAGUCGGUGGGGUAACGGAUCACCUAGGCGACGAUCCCUAGCUGGUACUAGAGGAUGACCAGCAACACUGGAACUGAGAAACGGUCCAGACUCCUACGGGUGGCAGCAGUGGGGAAUAUUGCACAAUGGGCGCAAGCCUGAUGCAGCCAUGCCGCGUGUGAGAAGAAGGCCUUCGGGUUGUAAAGCACUUUCAGCGGGGAGACGUUACCCGCAGAAGAAGCACCGGCUAAAUCCGUGCCAGCAGCCGCGGUAAUUC
rnacentral:rRNA from 1 species